ACUCUCACCAAAUUUUAUCAAAUGACAAAAGUUUUUUUAUUCAAAACAAAAACCAAUACUUAUAGUGUAUAUGAACAAAAAGAUAAAAAUAGACAUGGGCCUUCUAAACAGUUUGGGCCAAAAUUACAAUAAAUAAAAAUUAUAACUAAAAACAUAUUUAACUUGGGCCUUUAAAUUAGUUUAGGCGUUCAACAACAACUAAUAGUCUUGAUAGUGUCUCUGCCUCUGGGCCUUCAUCCUUCUCCACUCGGGGGCUUUAUCCUUCUCCACUUGGGCCUUCGUCCUUCUCCACUUGAGCCUUUAGUUUGUAUUUGGCCAGUUUUAGGAUUCUCAUCAUUCCCUCCUUCUUGGAAAACAUUUGCCCUCAAAUGUCCAAGAUCAUCAGCGGGUUCAAGUACCACUUCCUUCCUUUUCUUGUUGGCUUUCUUGGUAUAGCUUUCAUUCUUCUUUGCAAUUUGCACAUUCACU
rnacentral:lncRNA from 1 species